rnacentral:rRNA from 1 species
CAAUAGCGUAUAUUUAAGUUGCUGCAGUUAAAAAGCUCGUAGUUGGAUUUCGGGUGGGAAUGGCCGGUCCGCCGUUUCGGUGUGCACUUGCUACGCCCACCUUGCUGCCGGGGACGUGCUCUUGAGUUCACGCUCGGGACACGGAGUCGGCGAGGUUACUUUGAGUAAAUUAGAGUGUUCAAAGCAGGCCUACGCUCUGAAUACAUUAGCAUGGAAUAACACGAUAGGACUCUGGCCUAUCUUGUUGGUCUGUAGGACCGGAGUAAUGAUUAAGAGGGACAGUCGGGGGCACUCGUAUUUCAUUGUCAGAGGUGAAAUUCUUGGAUUUAUGAAAGACGAACUACUGCGAAAGCAUUUGCCAAGGAUGUUUUCAUUAA